rnacentral:precursor_RNA from 1 species
GAGGACCGUAUUCAUGGAAGAGGAUUGAACAGUAAAGAACCCAGCAAUUGGUAAAGAUGAGAAUAUAUCGCCUCAAGUAAAAGGAGAUGAAGACAUGGGAGAUGAAAUUGACAGUAUGUUGGCUACAUCUGGAGCUGCAUCAUUGGACUGAAAGUGAAUGGCCCAUGUGUUGCCACUGAUGUGAGCCAUUUGCCUGUUGUGCUUC